GUGCCAGCCGCCGCGGUAAUACGAAGGGGGCUAGCGUUGUUCGGAUUUACUGGGCGUAAAGCGCACGUAGGCGGGUCGUUAAGUUAGGGGUGAAAUCCCAGGGCUCAACCCUGGAACUGCCUUUAAUACUGGCGACCUAGAGUCCGGAAGAGGUGAGUGGAACUCCUAGUGUAGAGGUGGAAUUCGUAGAUAUUAGAAAAAACACCAGGGGCGAAGGCGGGUCACUGGUCCGG
rnacentral:rRNA from 1 species